GGGUUGUGAGGUUAAGCGACUAAGCGUACACGGUGGAUGCCCUGGCAGUCAGAGGCGAUGAAGGACGUGCUAAUCUGCGAAAAGCGUCGGUAAGGUGAUAUGAACCGUUAUAACCGGCGAUGUCCGAAUGGGGAAACCCAGUGCAAUUCGUUGCACUAUCGUUAACUGAAUACAUAGGUUAACGAGGCGAACCGGGGGAACUGAAACAUCUAAGUACCCCGAGGAAAAGAAAUCAACCGAGAUUCCCCCAGUAGCGGCGAGCGAACGGGGAGCAGCCCAGAGUCUGAAUCAGCUUGUGUGUUAGUGGAACGGUCUGGAAAGUCCGACGGUACAGGGUGAUAGUCCCGUACACCAAAAUGCACAGGCUGUGAACUCGAAGAGUAGGGCGGGACACGUGGUAUCCUGUCUGAAUAUGGGGGGACCAUCCUCCAAGGCUAAAUACUCCUGACUGACCGAUAGUGAACCAGUACCGUGAGGGAAAGGCGAAAAGAACCCCGGCGAGGGGAGUGAAAAAGAACCUGAAACCGUGUACGUACAAGCAGUGGGAGCACCUUCGGGUGUGACUGCGUACCUUUUGUAUAAUGGGUCAGCGACUUAUAUUCUGUAGCAAGGUUAACCGUAUAGGGGAGCCGCAGGGAAACCGAGUCUUAACUGGGCGUUAAGUUGCAGGGUAUAGACCCGAAACCCGGUGAUCUAGCCAUGGGCAGGUUGAAGGUUGGGUAACACUAACUGGAGGACCGAACCGACUAAUGUUGAAAAAUUAGCGGAUGACUUGUGGCUGGGGGUGAAAGGCCAAUCAAACCGGGAGAUAGCUGGUUCUCCCCGAAAGCUAUUUAGGUAGCGCCUCGUGAACUCAUCUUCGGGGGUAGAGCACUGUUUCGGCUAGGGGGUCAUCCCGACUUACCAACCCGAUGCAAACUACGAAUACCGAAGAAUGUUAUCACGGGAGACACACGGCGGGUGCUAACGUCCGUCGUGAAGAGGGAAACAACCCAGACCGCCAGCUAAGGUCCCAAAGUCAUGGUUAAGUGGGAAACGAUGUGGGAAGGCACAGACAGCCAGGAUGUUGGCUUAGAAGCAGCCAUCAUUUAAAGAAAGCGUAAUAGCUCACUGGUCGAGUCGGCCUGCGCGGAAGAUGUAACGGGGCUAAACCAUGCACCGAAGCUGCGGCAGCGACACUAUGUGUUGUUGGGUAGGGGAGCGUUCUGUAAGCCUGCGAAGGUGACCUGUGAGGGUUGCUGGAGGUAUCAGAAGUGCGAAUGCUGACAUAAGUAACGAUAAAGCGGGUGAAAAGCCCGCUCGCCGGAAGACCAAGGGUUCCUGUCCAACGUUAAUCGGGGCAGGGUGAGUCGACCCCUAAGGCGAGGCCGAAAGGCGUAGUCGAUGGGAAACAGGUUAAUAUUCCUGUACUUGGUGUUACUGCGAAGGGGGGACGGAGAAGGCUAUGUUAGCCGGGCGACGGUUGUCCCGGUUUAAGCAUGUAGGCUGGUUAUCCAGGCAAAUCCGGAUAAUCAAGGCUGAGGUGUGAUGACGAGGCACUACGGUGCUGAAGUAACAAAUGCCCUGCUUCCAGGAAAAGCCUCUAAGCAUCAGGUAACAUUGAAUCGUACCCCAAACCGACACAGGUGGUCAGGUAGAGAAUACCAAGGCGCUUGAGAGAACUCGGGUGAAGGAACUAGGCAAAAUGGUGCCGUAACUUCGGGAGAAGGCACGCUGGUGUGUAGGUGAAGUCCCUGCGGAUGGAGCUGAGACCAGUCGAAGAUACCAGCUGGCUGCAACUGUUUAUUAAAAACACAGCACUGUGCAAACACGAAAGUGGACGUAUACGGUGUGACGCCUGCCCGGUGCCGGAAGGUUAAUUGAUGGGGUUAUCCGUAAGGAGAAGCUCUUGAUCGAAGCCCCGGUAAACGGCGGCCGUAACUAUAACGGUCCUAAGGUAGCGAAAUUCCUUGUCGGGUAAGUUCCGACCUGCACGAAUGGCGUAAUGAUGGCCAGGCUGUCUCCACCCGAGACUCAGUGAAAUUGAACUCGCUGUGAAGAUGCAGUGUACCCGCGGCAAGACGGAAAGACCCCGUGAACCUUUACUAUAGCUUGACACUGAACAUUGAGCCUUGAUGUGUAGGAUAGGUGGGAGGCUUUGAAGCGUGGACGCCAGUCUGCGUGGAGCCAACCUUGAAAUACCACCCUUUAAUGUUUGAUGUUCUAACGUUGGCCCCUGACCGGGGUUGCGGACAGUGUCUGGUGGGUAGUUUGACUGGGGCGGUCUCCUCCCAAAGCGUAACGGAGGAGCACGAAGGUUAGCUAAUCCUGGUCGGACAUCAGGAGGUUAGUGCAAUGGCAUAAGCUAGCUUGACUGCGAGCGUGACGGCGCGAGCAGGUGCGAAAGCAGGUCAUAGUGAUCCGGUGGUUCUGAAUGGAAGGGCCAUCGCUCAACGGAUAAAAGGUACUCCGGGGAUAACAGGCUGAUACCGCCCAAGAGUUCAUAUCGACGGCGGUGUUUGGCACCUCGAUGUCGGCUCAUCACAUCCUGGGGCUGAAGUAGGUCCCAAGGGUAUGGCUGUUCGCCAUUUAAAGUGGUACGCGAGCUGGGUUUAGAACGUCGUGAGACAGUUCGGUCCCUAUCUGCCGUGGGCGCUGGAGAAUUGAGGGGGGCUGCUCCUAGUACGAGAGGACCGGAGUGGACGCAUCACUGGUGUUCGGGUUGUCAUGCCAAUGGCACUGCCCGGUAGCUAAAUGCGGAAGAGAUAAGUGCUGAAAGCAUCUAAGCACGAAACUUGCCCCGAGAUGAGUUCUCCCUGAGACUUUAAGUCUCCUGAAGGAACGUUGAAGACGACGACGUUGAUAGGCCGGGUGUGUAAGCGCAGCGAUGCGUUGAGCUAACCGGUACUAAUGAACCGUGAGGCUUAACCUUACAACGCCGAAG
rnacentral:rRNA from 1 species